rnacentral:rRNA from 1 species
AUUGAACGCUGGCGGCAGGCCUAACACAUGCAAGUCGAGCGAGCGGCGGGCGGGUGAGUGAUGUAUGGGAACUGCCCGAUGGAGGGGGAUAACUACAGGAACCGGUGGAUAAUACCGCAUAUUGUCUGAUAACCCAUAUGUGAUGAUCUAGUAGGUAAGGUAAUGGCUUACCAAGGAGACGAUCCCUAGCUGUUCUGAGCGGAUGAUCAGCCACACUGGGACUGAGACACGGCCCAGACUCCUACGGAGGCAGCAGUGGGGAAUAUUGCACAAUGGGCGCAAGCCUGAUGCAGCCAUGCCGCGUGUAUGAAGAAGGCCCUAGGGUUGUAAAGUACUUUCAGUCGGGAGGCGUUACCGACAGAAGAAGCACCGGCUAACUCCGUGCCAGCAGCCGCGGUAAUUC